rnacentral:misc_RNA from 1 species
GUUCUUGCAGACAUGGAUGUUGUUGGAAGAGAAGCUCAGCUCCGAGGUUUUGAAUUUGUAAAAGCUGUGACUCUAGUGCUGGAACCAUUUUUAAUGGAAAAUGGUCUUGUGACUCCAACAUUGAAGAUUAAAAGGCCUCAAGCAAAGGCAUACUUUGAGAAUGCAAUAUCAAGAAUGUACGCAGAGCUUGCUACAUCAGAUCCCUCCCCUAAAGGCAAGUUGUGAAGUUGAUAAGGAAAGCAUACAAACAUGGGCCAAGAAUUUUACAACCUGCUUGACAUGACAAUAAGAUCAACAUCUCCAGAUGUGACAGCGAAAGCCCUGGGAGUGUGUUCAUUGUCCAAUGAUUCUGCAAUAUUCGCCUCCUGGAGAUAGUUUCUUUAUAAUCUAUAUUUUUUUUUUUAAAUAAAGUAAUCAUAUAGAA